UUCCGGUUGAUCCCGCCGGACCCGACUGCUAUUUGGGUGAGGAUAAGCCAUGCGAGUUGAAUGGGAAACCUAAAGUUCCCAUGGCAAACUGCUCAGUAACACAUGAUCAACUUAACCUAUAGAGAAAAAUAACCUCGGGAAACUGAGGAUAAUGUUUCAUAGCUGAAUUGGCUUGGAAAAGUUUUUCGGCGAAAGGGGUAAAAAAAAUGGUUUUUAUCUGCUAUAGGAUAGGAUCGUGUUCGAUUAUGGUUGUUGGUGAGGUAAUGGCUCACCAAGCCGAUAAUCGAUAGGGGCCGUGAGAGCGGGAGCCCCGAGAUGGGUACUGAGACAACGACCCAGGCCUUACGAGGCGCAGCAGGCGCGAAACCUCCGCAAUACACGAAAGUGUGACGGGGUUACCCAAAGUGUUCAAUAGAACUGUGGUAGGUGAGUAAUGUUCCCUACUAGAAAGGAGAGGGCAAGGCUGGUGCCAGCCGCCGCGGUAAAACCAGCUCUUCAAGUGGUCGGGAUAAUUAUUGGGCUUAAAGUGUCCGUAGCCGGUUUAGUAAGUUCCUGGUAUAAUCGGGUAGCUUAACUAUCUAUAUGCUAGGAAUACUACUAUACUAGAGGGCGGGAGAGGUCUGAGGUACUACAGGGGUAGGGGUGAAAUCUUAUAAUCCUUGUUGGACCACCAGUGGCGAAGGCGUCAGACUGGAACGCGCCUGACGGUGAGGGACGAAAGCCAGGGGAGCGAACCGGAUUAGAUACCCGGGUAGUCCUGGCCGUAAACGAUGCAUACUAGGUGAUGGCACGGCCAUGAGCCGUGUCAGUGCCGUAGGGAAACCGUUAAGUGUGCCGCCUGGGAAGUACGGUCGCAAGGCUAAAACUUAAAGGAAUUGGCGGGGGAGCACCACAAGGGGUGAAGCCUGCGGUUCAAUUGGAUUAAACGCCGGA
rnacentral:rRNA from 1 species